GAGACUCUGUGCGCGUGCAUAUCAAUAAGCGGAGGAAAAGAAACUAACAAGGAUUCCCCUUAGUAACGGCGAGUGAAGCGGGAAGAGCUCAAAUUUGAAAUCUUCAAGGUUCUACCUUGACGAAUUGUAGUUUAUAGAAGUGUUUUCUGUUAGUAGAGUGGCAAAAGUUCUUUGGAAUAGGACAUCAUAGAGGGUGAGAAUCCCGUAUUUGGUCAUUCUUUCUAGCUUUGUGAUACACUUUCAACGAGUCGGAUUGUUUGGGAAUGCAGUCCAAAAUGGGUGGUAAAUUUCAUCUAAAGCUAAAUAUUGGCGAGAGACCGAUAGCGAACAAGUACCGUGAGGGAAAGAUGAAAAGAACUUUGAAAAGAGAGUUAAACAGUACGUGAAAUUGUCAAAAGGGAAGCGUUUGACACCAGUGUUGUUUUCUCGAAAAUCAAUUAAAAAUGAUGGGAUUUUGUGUUGUAUUGACUUUAUCAGCUUUCUGCACUUUUUUCCUGUCUUUCUUAAUGCACUUUUCGGUCAACAAGUCAACAUCAAUUUCUUUUGUUGUAAAAGGGUAAGAGGAAGGUGGCUUACGCUUCGGCGUAAGUGUUUAUAGCCUUGUGCCUCUGCAAUCGGAGAGAUUGAGGUCUGCAGCGUAGAUCCUUCGGGGUUAGAUACGUUUGUGCUAAGUUAUAGCUUUUCAUAGACAACUUGUUGACUAUGUUUAGUCUUGUAGCUUACUCGCUUAUGCUAUUUUACCUACGCUUAGGAUGUUGAACUCUAUCACACACAG
rnacentral:rRNA from 1 species